rnacentral:rRNA from 1 species
GAUGAACGCUAGCGGCAGGCUUAAUACAUGCAAGUCGAGGGGCAGCGGGAGUAGCAAUACUUGCCGGCGACCGGCGCACGGGUGCGUAACACGUAUGUAAUCUGCCCAUCACAGGAGGAUAGCCCCGGAGAAAUUCGGAUUAAUACUCCAUAAUAGAAGAUAAAGCAUUUUAUUUCUUGAAAGUUCCGACGGUGAUGGAUGAACAUGCGACUGAUUAGUUUGUGUGAGGUAACGGCUCACCAAGACUACGAUCAGUAGGGGUACUGAGAGGUUAAACCCCCCANACUGGUACUGAGACACGGACCAGGACUCCUACGGGAGCAGCAGUAAGGAUAUUGGACAAUGGCCGCAAGGCUGAUCCAGCCAUGCCGCGUGCAGGAAGACGGACCUAUGGUUUGUAAACUGCUUUUUGAACGGGAGAAAACCCCCCUACGUGUAGGGGGCUGAUAGUACUGUUAGAAUAAGCAUCGGCUAACGUUCGUGCCAGGCAGCCGC